CCUACGGGUGGCAGCAGUGAGGAAUAUUGGUCAAUGGGCGCGAGCCUGAACCAGCCAAGUCGCGUGAGGGAAGACGGUCCUAUGGAUUGUAAACCUCUUUUGUCGGGGAGCAAAAGACGCCACGUGUGGCGUUCCGAGAGUACCCGAAGAAAAAGCAUCGGCUAACUCCGUGCCAGCAGCCGCGGUAAUACGGAGGAUGCGAGCGUUAUCCGGAUUUAUUGGGUUUAAGGGGUGCGCAGGCGGAAGAUCAAGUCAGCGGUAAAAUUGAGGGGCUCAACCUCUUCGAGCCGUUGAAACUGGUAGUCUUGAGUGAGCGAGAGGUAUGCGGAAUGCGUGGUGUAGCGGUGAAAUGCAUAGAUAUCACGCAGAACUCCGAUUGCGAAGGCAGCAUACCGGCGCUAAACUGACGCUCAUGCACGAAAGUGUGGGUAUCGAACAGGAUUAGAUACCCGAGUAGUC
rnacentral:rRNA from 1 species